GGCGAACGGGUGAGUAACACGUGAGUAACCUGCCCUUGACUUCGGGAUAACUUCAGGAAACUGGGGCUAAUACCGGAUAGGAAUCCUUGCUGCAUGGUGGGGGUUGGAAAGCUUCGGCGGUUUUGGAUGGACUCGCGGCUUAUCAGCUUGUUGGUGGGGUAGUGGCUUACCAAGGCUUUGACGGGUAGCCGGCCUGAGAGGGCGACCGGCCACAUUGGGACUGAGAUACGGCCCAGACUCCUACGGGAGGCAGCAGUGGGGAAUAUUGCACAAUGGGCGGAAGCCUGAUGCAGCAACGCCGCGUGCGGGAUGACGGCCUUCGGGUUGUAAACCGCUUUCAGCAGGGGCGAAGCUUUUGUGACGGUACCUGCAGAAGAAGCACCGGCUAACUACGUGCCAGCAGCCGCGGUGAUACGUAGGGUGCGAGCGUUGUCCGGAUUUAUUGGGCGUAAAGAGCUCGUAGGUGGUUGAUUGCGUCGGAAGUGAA
rnacentral:rRNA from 1 species